UACGAAGGGGGGCUAGCGUUGCUCGGAAUGACUGGGCGUAAAGGGCGCGUAGGCGGCUCAUACAGUCAGGCGUGAAAUUCCUGGGCUCAACCUGGGGACUGCGCUUGAGACGUGUGGGCUUGAGUGGGGAAGAGGGUCGUGGAAUUCCCAGUGUAGAGGUGAAAUUCGUAGAUAUCGGGAGGAACACCGGUGGCGAAGGCGGCGAUCUGGGUCGAUACUGACGCUGAGGUGCGAAAGCGUGGGGAGCAAACAGG
rnacentral:rRNA from 1 species